UACAGAGGGUGCGAGCGUUAAUCGGAAUUACUGGGCGUAAAGCGCACGUAGUCGGCUUUGCAAGUCGGGUGUGAAAUCCCCGGGCUCAACCUGGGAACUGCAUCCGAGACUGCAUUGCUAGAGUAUGGGAGAGGGAAGCGAAAUUUCUGGUGUAGCAGUGAAAUGCGUAGAUAUCAGAAGGAACAUCAGUGGCGAAGGCGGCUUCCUGGACCAAUACUGACGAUCAGGUGCGAAAGCGUGGGGAGCAAACAGG
rnacentral:rRNA from 1 species